UACGGGGGGGGCAAGCGUUGUUCGGAAUUACUGGGCGUAAAGGGUCUGUAGGUGGCUUGCUAAGUCAGACGUGAAAUCCCUCAGCUUAACUGGGGAACUGCGUCUGAGACUGGCGAGCUUGAGGGCAGGAGAGGAACGCGGAAUUCCAGGUGUAGCGGUGAAAUGCGUAGAUAUCUGGAGGAACACCGGUGGCGAAGGCGGCAUCCUGGACCGGCAUUGACGCUGAGGCGCGAAAGCCAGGGGAGCAAACGGG
rnacentral:rRNA from 1 species